rnacentral:lncRNA from 1 species
AACUCAUCUCCCCUUUCUCUUUCAUCUUCAGAGACACCCAAACCUAACCAUAAUCUAUCACCCUAAAAUCCUUGCCAUCUCCGGUGUCGACGCCGCCCUCAAAUCUUUGCCAUCUCCAGUGUUGGCGCCCCCUCCAAUCCACCCCAAAUUCAUACCACAUAACCCCCAUGAGCCCCUCACACCAAGCCCAGCACUAGUUCCCCUCGAAUCCUCCUAGGUUUCUUCGAAUCUUAGAGCAAAGUCGAACCCUAAAACCCCCCAAAAACCCCAAAUCGAGAUUUCAAUGAAAAUUGAAGUCUAGUUUGAUUAUCAAGAACACACGAUUAAUUUCAAACUCGGCUUAAAUUUUAAGAUUUGAAGACUUUACUUGUCCGAGCCUUUGUAGGUAUUUUUCCUUUUCUUUUGUUAUCUUUGCUUCAUUUAUUCUUUCAUUUUUCUAUCUUCUACUUCUUUCUCUUCUUCUUGAAUCUUUUUGUUUUCCAGUUUCUUCAGAGUCAUUUUCUCUAUGCAUGUUAGCAUUAAGUUUUUUUCAAUUAAUUAAGCAUGAUUCGGUUGAUGUGUUAGAUUUUGUUCGAGCUUUAUUUGUUUCUAUGUUUUUCUUUAAGCCCAAGACCUUAUGAGUCUUUAGGAUUCUGUAGGUCAUUUAGUCCGGCAAAUUUUGAUUGCUGAUUUGGACUUGGGUUCUGAAAUUAGAAGCCCAAGAAAGGGGAUUCAACCCAGAAUUUAUAGACCCAUAACAAUUUGACUUGGGCCAAUUCGAUCCAUAUUUUUUGGUUUCAGAAGUAAAACACCGGUAUUAAGGGUCAUUUUAGGAAUUCUAGGUUAGGAAAACUUCAAUAACUGAAUAAGGAAGCUUCACUCACAAGUCAGAAAUUAGAGAUUGAAAACACCAAAAGUUGAAGAAACGACUGAAUAUUCUCAAGUGAAAAGUACUGAAAAUUGCUUGAAGUCUGCUUGUUUUUGAGUUCUAAAUUCUAUUGAUAAAUCAAAUUUUCAAGAGUUUCAAUAGAAUAGUUCAAUCUAAUUUUUCAAAGUUUGGAAUGAGGUCGAGAAUCUGAAGCUUGUUUGCACUAUUCCAUUGUUGUUGCAAUAUUACUACUGUUGGUUGAACUUUUGAUAUUUAACCUCAUCUUCUUCUUCUGCUUGAUUGUUGUAUUCAGGUAUUCACUACAUUUCUUAGCGUAUGAAAAUGGAGGAACAUGAAGCUCUUUUGAUUGAGCUGAUAAUUUGUAAUAAAUCAGUUAGUUGAAUACUAUUUCUGCACUCUUGAAGUUAGCUGAUUUCUGCAUUCUAGUUUAGUUUUUAUUAUGUGUACAUUUGACUAUUUUGCUUUUAAUUCCAUUUGAGUUUUAAAAGUUUCAAGUAGCUACUCUAAUUUAGAUUAUUUGUUUGUUAAAAGGACUGAAACUUGGUUGAACGGGGGGACUUCUAGUUCUUCUGUAUAUUUAAGUGCUAAAGAAGCCAAUAUAAGAUUUAGAAAUCUCGUUUGACUUGCCAAGAAAAUCAUCUGUUGAAUCCAUCUUUCCAGGCAUGUGAAUAUGUUUGAAAUCCCAUCAAGUGUCCUGAGGUAUCCUGAAACUCCUAUUUUGUCUUGAGAAAAAAAAAAGAAAAGAAAGGACAUGCUCUUGUAUUUCUUUUAUUAUAAAAGCAUUUUUGUGUAAGUUUAAACUAUAGUUUGUGUGGCUUUGAGUUGGGGUGUUAAAGAAUAAAAUAAGCUGUAUACGAGCAAUUGUUGAUCAAAGAUUGUAUUUUCAUUUUUGAAUAUGCUCUAUACUCAUUCAAUGAUGUUAGUAUUUGUGCAAUCUUUAAGUCUUUCCUAAAAAAUAGUUUUUGUCUUAAGUUUUAAUGCUGAAUCCGG